UACGAAGGGGGCUAGCGUUGUUCGGAAUUACUGGGCGUAAAGCGCACGUAGGCGGAUAUUUAAGUCAGGGGUGAAAUCCCAGAGCUCAACUCUGGAACUGCCUUUGAUACUGGGUAUCUUGAGUAUGGAAGAGGUAAGUGGAAUUGCGAGUGUAGAGGUGAAAUCGUAGAUAUUCGCAGGAACACCAGUGGCGAAGGCGGCUUACUGGUCCAUAAC
rnacentral:rRNA from 1 species